ACGGAAGGACGUCAUGCUAAGUGAAGGAAGUGAGACCCAGAAAGACAAAUACCACAUGAUUUCACGCAUAUGCAAAAUCUACAAAAGUUGAACUCAUAAAAGCAGAGAGUAGAGCGGUGGCUGGUUAGGAAAAUGGGGAGAUGCUGAUGGAAGGGUCCAAACUUUCAGUUAUAAGAGGCCACUUAAGCAAGAUUCCUGCUCAUGGAACACUAUAUGCUAAUAAAGUUGAUAAUGAAAAUAUA